rnacentral:rRNA from 1 species
UACGUAGGGUGCAAGCGUUGUCCGGAAUUAUUGGGCGGAAAGAGCUCGUAGGCGGUCUGUCGCGUCGGCUGUGAAAACUCGGGGCUCAACCCCGAGCCUGCAGUCGAUACGGGCAGACUAGAGUGCGGUAGGGGAGACUGGAAUUCCUGGUGUAGCGGUGAAAUGCGCAGAUAUCAGGAGGAACACCGGUGGCGAAGGCGGGUCUCUGGGCAGUAACUGACGCUGAGGAGCGAAAGCGUGGGGAGCGAACAGG